UGUGAGGGGAUCCAGCCCACCUUCUUGAUGGGGCUUGCUGCAUUAUUUUCCACCUUCUACACCUGCACGCUCAAAUUAAUCUCAAGGUGCACCGUAGGAAUAAACCCUGAGAGAGGCACCAAGGAUGGACAGGGCAAAGUCUUCUCAAAGAAAACUGGCAAAUUCACGAGCUACAAGACAAGACUACAACCGUAUAUCCACAUGUAUCCACUCUGCUGAUGGGACUCAUGGACUUGAGUGGGACUUCAUUUAAAAUGUCAGCGGGCUACCAAGGCUGGAUUGAGAGUACUGGUGUCUUUGAGUGGGCCAUAAGUCAUUCGCUAACUCACUCCCCCAUUAUCGCCCAAUACUUGGACUUCCACACUUAUCCAUGUGCCUUGUUAGAGCCUGAAUAUUCAUACUUGGACAUGAUGUCACAUGUCUGGUGGUGUUGGUGCUCAUCAGUAUAUAGACAAAUUAUUUUGUAUUUAAUGUUCAUUUUUUUUUUUAAAUUUGUACCACUGAUAUGCCUUUAGGCUCAGCAAUAUAUUCAGUAUAUUCACAUGUUACAUGAUAUAAGGCAAAAUAUUAUUUGAGAGUUUUGUUUUAACUCUAUGAUAUAGCUCAACUGUCUGUAACUGUUCCACAAAGUAAGGUUAGUAAGAUUGACAGAUGUCUUCAGAAAUGCUAUUUCUUCUGAAAUUUGGUUUGUUAUCUGUGUCAGGUUUUUGUUGGCGCUGUGUUGAACUUCAUAUGAAAAUAAAAAAUAAAGUGCAAUAAGAUAAGCUGUAGAUGUUCUUUUCUCACGCAUUGUACACAAUUGUAAAAUCAGUGAAUUAGCUCUGUUCUUCACUCACAUGUUGUUAUGAUUUGCAUUCUGUGCUUGUAGCCAGCUAGAG